rnacentral:rRNA from 1 species
GACGAACGCUGGCGGCGUGCCUAAUACAUGCAAGUCGAGCGAAUGGAUUAAGAGCUUGCUCUUAUGAAGUUAGCGGCGGACGGGUGAGUAACACGUGGGUAACCUGCCCAUAAGACUGGGAUAACUCCGGGAAACCGGGGCUAAUACCGGAUAACAUUUUGAACCGCAUGGUUCGAAAUUGAAAGGCGGCUUCGGCUGUCACUUAUGGAUGGACCCGCGUCGCAUUAGCUAGUUGGUGAGGUAACGGCUCACCAAGGCAACGAUGCGUAGCCGACCUGGGAGGGUGAGAGGCCAACCUGGGACUGGAAAACGGCCCAGACGCCUACGGGGGGCAGGAGUAGGGAAUCUGCCGCAAUGGACGAAAGUCUGACGGGGCAACGCCGCGUGAGUGAUGAAAGCUUUCGGGUCGUAAAACUCUGUUGUUAGGGGAGAACAAGUGCUAGUUGAAUAAGCUGGCACCUUGACGGUACCUAACCAGAAAGCCACGGCUAACUACGUGCCAGCAGCCGCGGUAA